GAUCCUGGCUCAGGAUAAACGCUGGCGGCGCACAUAAGACAUGCAAGUCGAACGGAAGUCGUUGUAAUGAUAUAGACAUGGACGGAGAACUUGUUCAAAGGAAGUGAAAGUUGACUUACCAACCAAUGGCUUUAGUGGCGGACUGGUGAGUAACACGUAAGCAACCUGCCCUAUCAGAGGGGAACAACAGUUAGAAAUGACUGCUAAUACCGCAUAUGCCCUAAGUAUCAC
rnacentral:rRNA from 1 species